UACGGAGGGUGCAAGCGUUAAUCGGAAUUACUGGGCGUAAAGCGCACGCAGGCGGUUUUUUAAGUCAGAUGUGAAAUCCCCGGGCUCAACCUGGGAACUGCAUUUGAUACUGGCAAGCUUGAGUAUCGUAGAGGGGGGUAGAAUUCCAGGUGUAGCGGUGAAAUGCGUAGAGAUCUGGAGGAAUACCGGUGGCGAAGGCGGCCCCCUGGACGAAGACUGACGCUCAGGUGUGAAAGCGUGGGGAGCAAACAGG
rnacentral:rRNA from 1 species